AUGUUCGCACAGUGUUCCCACAGAUGUUAUCACAGAUGUUCUCAAGAUGUUCUCACAAUGUUCUCACAGAUGUUCUCACAGAUGUUCGCACAGAUGUUCCCACAGAUGUUCUCACAGAUGUUCUCACAGAUGUUCGCACAGAUGUUCGCACAGAUUUCUACAGAUCUUCUCACAGAGUUCUCACAGAUGGUUCUCAGAUGUUCUCACAAUGUUCGCACAAUGUU
rnacentral:lncRNA from 1 species